rnacentral:rRNA from 1 species
AUGGGCAGGUCGCCGGCAGCCCCAACCCCGACCCCCAGGUCGCCGGAAGCAUCAAUCACGACCCCCGGGUCGCCGGCUGUCCCAACCCCAACACCCAAGGCGUCGGAUGCGUCAAUCCCAGCGCCCAAGGUGCCGGAUGCGUCGUCGGCAGCAGAUCUUGAGGAGCACAAGGGUACUAGUGAGCUCUUGCGUGCCAUAAAAAUUGAGAAGGCUAAUGUUGCGAUUCCAAUGGAUCCGGGUGGCGGCAAGAACAAAGGCUCCGGUGGCGGGAAAGAAGUGCUGUGUUCUCCAUGUCACACUGUUUAUUUGAUGUCGCGCUGGGUGUUUUUGUUCCUCUUGCUACCAAGUUCAGUCUUUAAGUUUGAGCGAAAUGCAGCUUAA